rnacentral:rRNA from 1 species
AUUGAACGCUGGCGGCAUGCCUUACACAUGCAAGUCGAACGGCAGCACGGACUUCGGUCUGGUGGCGAGUGGCGAACGGGUGAGUAAUGUAUCGGAACGUACCUUUCAGUGGGGGAUAACGUAGCGAAAGUUACGCUAAUACCGCAUAUUCUGUGAGCAGGAAAGCAGGGGAUCGAAAGACCUUGCGCUGAUUGAGCGGCCGAUAUCAGAUUAGCUAGUUGGUGGGGUAAAGGCCUACCAAGGCGACGAUCUGUAGCGGGUCUAAGAGGAUGAUCCGCCACACUGGAACUGAGACACGGUCCAGACUCCUACGGGAGGCAGCAGUGGGGAAUUUUGGACAAUGGGGGCAACCCUGAUCCAGCCAUGCCGCGUGAGUGAAGAAGGCCUUCGGGUUGUAAAGCUCUUUCGGCCGGGAAGAAAUCGCAUAGGCUAAUACCCUGUGUGGAUGACGGUACCGGAAUAAGAAGCACCGGCUAACUACGUG